rnacentral:rRNA from 1 species
GAUGAACGCUGGCGGCGUGCCUAAUACAUGCCAGUCGAGCGAACAGAUGAGGAGCUUGCUCCUCUGACGUUAGCGGCGGACGGGUGAGUAACACGUGGAUAACCUACCUAUAAGACUGGGAUAACUUCGGGAAACCGGAGCUAAUACCGGAUAACAUAUUGAACCGCAUGGUUCAAUAGUGAAAGACGGUUUUGCUGUCACUUAUAGAUGGAUCCGCGCCGCAUUAGCUAGUUGGUAAGGUAACGGCUUACCAAGGCAACGAUGCGUAGCCGACCUGAGAGGGUGAUCGGCCACACUGGAACUGAGACACGGUCCAGACUCCUACGGGAGGCAGCAGUAGGGAAUCUUCCGCAAUGGGCGAAAGCCUGACGGAGCAACGCCGCGUGAGUGAUGAAGGUCUUCGGAUCGUAAAACUCUGUUAUUAGGGAAGAACAAAUGUGUAAGUAACUAUGCACGUCUUGACGGUACCUAAUCAGAAAGCCACGGCUAACUACGUG